rnacentral:lncRNA from 1 species
AUGUGAUUGGGUGUGUGCAAUGUGUUUGGGUGCAACAAGAGUCCCUUCAAAAAACCCUUGUUGCACCAUACCUUUUAAUCCCUCCUUUCCAAUGUUAAUUGAGGCAGAUUUAAAAGUUUCUGUUUUUGCCUCAACAAAAUGUUCCUCCUCUUCUAAAAUUCUUUCUAUUAAUUGUGGGGUGCAAUAGCCUUUUAUUUGAAUCUAUUUUCCUUUUGGUUUUAUUUAAAAACAGAGCCUCAUUAAAAAUAAAAGUAA